GACGGGGGAUGCAAGCGUUAUCCGGAAUCACUGGGCGUAAAGCGUCUGUAGGUGGUGAUGCAAGUCACUGGUGCAAAACUCUGGCUCAACCGGAGGAAAGCCAGUGGAACUGCAUGACUAGAGUGUGGGAGAGGUAGAAGGAAUUCCCUGAGUAGCGGUGAAAUGCGUAGAUACAGGGAAGAACACCGGAGGCGAAAGCGUUCUACUGGAACACAACUGACACUGAGAGACGAAAGCUAGUGGAGCGAAGGGG
rnacentral:rRNA from 1 species